CGUCGUAGUCUAGGUGGUUAGGAUACUCGGCUCUCACCCGAGAGACCCGGGUUCAAGUAGUCCUCCCGGCGACG
rnacentral:tRNA from 1 species